rnacentral:rRNA from 1 species
GACAGAGGGUGCAAACGUUGUUCGGAAUUACUGGGCGUAAAGCGAGUGUAGGCGGUCUCAUAAGUCGGGUGUGAAAGCCCUGGGCUCAACCCAGGAAGUGCACUCGAUACUGCGAGGCUAGAGUAUCGGAGAGGUUGGUGGAAUUCUCGGUGUAGAGGUGAAAUUCGUAGAUAUCGAGAGGAACACCGGUGGCGAAGGCG